CAGAAGGCAGAUAUUGGAUUAUUGCUCUGCACUUAUGUUUAAAGCUUUGUUUGUUAUUUAUUGUACAAUUUUGGCCCACCCUCAUUUUGGACACGUCAGUCUGUCACGGCCUGACAUGUCAAGCGCAGAAGAUGAGGACAUUUCUUCGAACUACUACAUAUUCAUUAUAUUUGAAGGGUUCUGAUCCGGAGAAGGAAAUAGCAAGAGGGGUCGAUGUAGGCCUACUCUUCAUGACUGGAGAAGCUGAGGAUGGCGACAUGCUCACAGACAUUCUGGAUGUUACAGUGAUACUGGAGGACAAAAUCAUCCGUCAGCUAAAAAGUGUUCCAAAUGCCUUUGCUGUCCUAAUUAGCCGCUCGUAUAGUCUCAACAUUGACUGUCCAAAGGGACUGAAAUACAGCUUUGAGCUAAUCCAGAAGGUUUUCAUGGAUGUUGGCAGUAUGACAUGUUCAUCCAAUGUUCUUGCGCAAGAACAAGAUUCUGCAACAAACAGUUUGAUCAGAUCUCUUCAAGUGAUCCAUCUUUCGUUGUUUAUGGAUACAGACAGGUGGGAUCACUUCAAAUGUUAUCGAUUUUUGGACUGCAACUGUUAAAUGAGACCUGACUCAAUUCAAAACUUGGUCUACACAUCUGUUGAAAGCUCCUGUGACUUCUGCAGCCUCCUUUUUUUUUUUUUUAACAUUUUCAUUUAUUUGAUACUCUUCUGUGGUAAACAUUGCAUAGCUCAAAUUCAUGGCCAUAUGCUAUAAGACUGUCUCCCUCUUUCACUCUUUCUGUUUGUCUUUGUACGUUACCAGAAUAAAGAAGGUACAGGGGAGUGAGAGAACAGCAUUUGUUGACAAGAGAUUAAAAAUUGAAUGAGACAGAUUUAAAAUAUAUCAACAUACUAUGCCAAAAUGAGUGUCAAUGCAUUUCAAACUCUACCUGUGUCAGUUCUCCA